rnacentral:rRNA from 1 species
ACGCACGCUGGCGGCGUGCUUCACCCCUGCAAGUCGCACGGAAAGGCCCUGCUUUUGUGGGGUGCUCGAGUGGCGAACGGGUGAGUAACACGUGAGUAACCUGCCCUUGACUUUGGGAUAACUUCAGGAAACUGGGGCUAAUACCGGAUAGGAGCUCCUGCUGCAUGGUGGGGGUUGGAAAGUUUCGGCGGUUGGGGAUGGACUCGCGGCUUAUCAGCUUGUUGGUGGGGUAGUGGCUUACCAAGGCUUUGACGGGUAGCCGGCCUGAGAGGGUGACCGGCCACAUUGGGACUGAGAUACGGCCCAGACUCCUACGGGAGGCAGCAGUGGGGAAUAUUGCACAAUGGGCGGAAGCCUGAUGCAGCAAUGCCGCGUGCGGGAUGACGGCCUUCGGGUUGUAAACCGCUUUCGCCUGUGACGAAGCGUGAGUGACGGUAAUGGGUAAAGAAGCACCGGCUAACUACGUG